rnacentral:rRNA from 1 species
UCUACACCCAAUCACCCUGAACACAUCCAAUCUCCUCUGAUCUCAGAAGCUAAGCAGGGUCAAGCCUCGUUAGUACUUGGAUGGGAGAGUGAUACAGUUGGUUUUUAGAG